GCAUGUUGCUGUAUCCACAGCUUUGGCCUCGGGAAGAAACUUCCCAGAACGCCUCCUGGAUUUGAAACUAACCCUCAAAGAUCUCAAGCUAAAACUCCUCAUCAAAGUCUGAAAAGAUUUCACACUAGAAGAAGCAGCCAAGUUUGACUAAGAACUCUGAUCACUGCUAUCGAAACUAGAUUCAGAACCUCCAGGACUUGCCCGGAGGAAAUGGCCCUUCCUCCUUUCAGAGCAGCUCGCCGCCUUCAUCUGAUUAAGCGAGGAAUCCUCCGAUGUCUCUACUGAACAAGUUCUUGCUUUUGCUGUCAUGCUUCACCGAUAUUGAAGAAUCAACAGACUUCACAUCAUCGCAUUCAAUCCCUCCCUGACACGACAUAAAAACCAAAAUUUUACUACAAGCAAAUUGCCACAACACAAGAUUUCUUCAUCCUGCUAUACAGCUCAAGAGGCAGUGCCCUUCAUGAAAUGAGGAGAUGCACCCGGCAUUUGAACAGGGCUUGAUUUCUCCGGGCUCGAGCCACCACUAGAACUGGAUG